rnacentral:rRNA from 1 species
UACGUAGGGGGCAAGCGUUGCUCGGAAUCACUGGGCGUAAAGCGCACGUAGGCGGCUUUUUAAGUCAGGGGUGAAAUCCUGGAGCUCAACUCCAGGACUGCCUUUGAUACUGAGAAGCUUGAGUCCGGGAGAGGUGAGUGGAACUGCGAGUGUAGAGGUGAAAUUCGUAGAUAUUCGCAAGAACACCAGUGGCGAAGGCGGCUCACUGGCCCGGUACUGACGCUGAGGUGCGAAAGCGUGGGGAGCAAACAGG